rnacentral:rRNA from 1 species
AGCGAACGCUGGCGGCAGGCUUAACACAUGCAAGUCGAGCGGGCCCUUCGGGGUCAGCGGCGGACGGGUGAGUAACGCGUGGGAACGUGCCUUCUGGUUCGGAAUAACUCAGGGAAACUUGAGCUCAUACCGGAUAUGCCCUUUUGGGGUAAGGUUUACUGCCGGAAGAUCGGCCCGCGUCUGAUUAGCUAGUUGGUGGGGUAACGGCCUACCAGGGCGACGAUCAGUAGCUGGUCUGAGAGGAUGAUCAGCCACACUGGGACUGAGACACGGCCCAGACUCCUACGGGAGGCAGCAGUGUGGAAUCUUGCGCAAUGGGCGAAAGCCUGACGCAGCCAUGCCGCGUGAAUGAUGAAGGUCUUAGGAUUGUAAAAUUCUUUUACCAGGGACGAUAAUGACGGUACCUGGAGAAAAAGCCCCGGCUAACUUCGUGCCAGCCGCCGCCGUAAAAC